AGAGCUCCUGCCCCAGUGGCUGUAUUGUCCUGAAACAGUCGUGAUUUAGGGACUUCCCAGAAAAUGGAACAGACACUAGCUGGAGCCUCAUCCUAGAUUUUAACAUUAACUCAUGGAAACAUAAACUCCAAGCUAGAAAGAAACUAAAGAAAGAAUGCAAUUUAGACCUGUCCUACAACUGCAACUUCCACUCUUAGAUUGGUAUAGUGCACCAGAAAAAUCAGCCUCAACUCUUUUUCCAAACAGUAGAUCUUGGAAACUA
rnacentral:lncRNA from 1 species